AGCGGACCCCACUGUUUGCACCAGCGACGCUUUUCCACCUGAGGAACAUCAGGCCAGUGAGGGAUCUACCGGAUGGGCUGCAGCCAAACCCUGAAGCCCUGAGUAGGCCGAGGCAAAGCGUGCUGUGGUGGGGAGCUCCCCAUGGCCCCCGACAGCACAGGGCACUCUCGUGGCACUGCCGGCACCGGCGCGGAAACCUGACAGCGCUGCGGAGCCUGUUCCCAGGGAUCUCCUGCCCUCAGGCCUGGCAGGAGGAGAGCAAGUCCCUUCCUGGUGCCCUGACCACCACCGAGCUCAGCUCCUUCCCCGUCCCUGCAUUGAGCAAAGGAUGCGCAGAGGAUGAAUCAACCGAAUAAACAAAGCUGCUUUGCUGUCAAUGGAACGACAGCGCCCAGGAUGGCAUCCAGCAGUGGGGACAGCGUGAACCAGUGGCGGGCGGAACCACUGAUGAUGGAGCUUUGGCAGGGCCCGAUGCCAUUGGUAACGAACAGCCCCAGUGGAGCUGGAGGCCAGGGCUGAGCACAGCAUCGCCCCGAGCCCAGGGCAACGGAGCAUGCCAGCUGUGGCAACAAAUGAGACGGCCAAC